rnacentral:rRNA from 1 species
UACGUAGGUGGCAAGCGUUGUCCGGAUUUACUGGGCGUAAAGAGCGCGCAGGCGGUCGUUCAAGUCGCGUGUGAAAGCCCCCGGCUCAACUGGGGAGGGUCACGCGAUACUGAUCGACUCGAAGGCAGGAGAGGGAAGUGGAAUUCCCGGUGUAGUGGUGAAAUGCGUAGAUAUUGGGAGGAACACCGGUGGCGAAGGCGGCUACCUGGACCGGUUCUGACGCUGAUGCGCGAAAGCGUGGGUAGCAAACAGG